rnacentral:rRNA from 1 species
AACGCGAAGAACCUUACCCACCUUUGACAUGUACGGAAUUUGCCAGAGAUGGCUUAGUGCUCGAAAGAGAGCCGUAACACAGGUGCUGCAUGGCUGUCGUCAGCUCGUGUCGUGAGAUGUUGGGUUAAGUCCCGCAACGAGCGCAACCCUUGCCAUUAGUUGCUACGAAAGGGCACUCUAAUGGGACUGCCGGUGACAAACCGGAGGAAGGUGGGGAUGACGUCAAGUCCUCAUGGCCCUUAUAGGUGGGGCUACACACGUCAUACAAUGGCCGGUACAAAGGGCAGCCAACCCGCGAGGGGGAGCCAAUCCCAUAAAGCCGGUCGUAGUCCGGAUCGCAGUCUGCAACUCGACUGCGUGAAGUCGGAAUCGCUAGUAAUCGUGGAUCAGCAUGUCACGGUGAAUACGUUCCCGGGUCUUGUACACACCG